rnacentral:rRNA from 1 species
GAGUUUGAUCCUGGCUCAAGAUGAACGCUGGCGGCGUGCUUAACACAUGCAAGUCGAACGGAACUGUCAUUUUUGAAGCAAUUAGCUUGCUAAGGGUGGAAAUGUUGGCAGUUUAGUGGCGGACGGGUGAGUAACGCGUGGGUAACCUGCCUUGCACUGGGGGAUAACACUUAGAAAUAGGUGCUAAUACCGCAUAAGCGCACGGGACCGCAUGGUCUUGUGUGAAAAACUCCGGUGGUGCAAGAUGGACCCGCGUCUGAUUAGCUGGUUGGCGGGGUAACGGCCCACCAAGGCGACGAUCAGUAGCCGGACUGAGAGGUUGGCCGGCCACAUUGGGACUGAGACACGGCCCAGACUCCUACGGGAGGCAGCAGUGGGGAAUAUUGGGCAAUGGGCGCAAGCCUGACCCAGCAACGCCGCGUGAAGGAAGAAAGCUUUCGGGUUGUAAACUUCCUUUGUCAGGGACGAAGCAAGUGACGGUACCUGACGAAUAAGCCACGGCUAACUACGUGCCAGCAGCCGCGGUAAUACAUAGGUGGCAAGCGUUAUCCGGAUUUACUGGGUGUAAAGGGCGUGUANGCAAGACUGCAAGUCAAAUGUGAAAACCCCGGGCUCCACCUGGGGCCCGGAUUUGAAACUGUAAUUCCUGAGAUACGGAGAAGGCCAACGGAAAUCCCAUUGUAACCGUGGAACGGCAGGU